rnacentral:piRNA from 1 species
CAUAAAGGGCCCAUUAUCAGGU